GUGGUAUUCCAGGGGCACUCCCCAGCACACCACCUCCUGCCUGCAAAUCUCUGCCUCAGACUCUGUUUCCUGGGUAACCUGACCUAAGAAAAUUGAUCAUACGCAGAACCCUACUAUAGCUGACUCCUUUGAAGAACUGUGAAAGAUGCGGGGGCGAGAAAAUAAAAAUCACAGGGUUGGCCUCAACAGUUGUAAUUGUCCUACACCACCUUCUCCUGGAAAUUGCUGCACCAUCGAUCCCAGCCUGGGUCAACAUCUCUAUCCUAUUGACUUGUAACAAAGAGACUGAUAAUGUAGUUUUCUACUACAAACAUGAAAUUGAGAGCUCUGGCAUGGAUGCGUGCAUGGAGAAACAGUUGUGUUGUUCAUGUAAGAGACGAAUGCAACAGACAAGAAACCAUAUUAUCCACAGGUAUGGAUUUAUUCCCACAUGAUGGACUGCAAUAAACAAAUGAACAAGAAAGAAAGAUGGACCAAAUAACUUAGAGCAGUGGUUCAUAAAGUGUGGUCCAUGAAACAGCAGUGUCAGCAUGUGGAAAUUUAUUAGAAAUGCAGUCUCUUUUCACCUCACUAGACCUUGUGCACCAAAAUUAUUUCCCUUCUUAAGUAUUUAAAAACAAAAAUUGUGACAUGGUCUCAUAAUAGAGUUUGCAUAAAAGAAAUCAGGAUACUUCCUGAAACUUUGGCACCCCUUUACCAAAUGUAUUUAGCCACUGCAGUAAAAUUUCAUCUUUUCCCUAAAAACUACUUUGAAUAAUACAUCAUUUAUUUAUUAUUAUUAUUAUACAGUUAUGCAUCCCUUAACAAUGGGGAAAUGUUCUGAUUAAUGCAUUGUUAGGCAAAUCUGUCAUUGUGCAAACAUCACAGAGUAUAACUCAGACAAACCUAGAUGAGACAGCCUACUACACACCUAGGCUAUAUAUGGUGUAACUUACUGCUUUUAGGCUACAAAUCUGUACAGUAUGUCACUGUACUGAAUACUGCAUUGAAUACUGAAUCAUAACACAAAGAUUAGUAUUUGUGUUUCUAAACAUAGUAAAGUUACAGUAAAAGUAUGGUCUCACAAUCUUGUGACUACUGUCAUAUAUGCAGUCUGUUGUUGAUCAAAAUCUUAUGUGACACAUACCGUAGCUGAAUUUCAAUGAAAGCAAGUAUUAGGAUACAAGACUGGAAGCAUAGCUUGAAACACAAUCUUCCAGGCUUUUGAAUGACAGGCCUGAAAGUAUGAUCUUUAUUUCACAGGGCAGUUAAAAACCUUUGUUGAGUUUUGAUCACCCAGUAAAAACAUGGUAUUAUAAUCUUACGGAACCAUCAUUGUAUAUGCAGUCCAUCAUUGACUGAAACAUCAUUUUGCAGUGCCUGACUG
rnacentral:lncRNA from 1 species